rnacentral:tRNA from 1 species
AGUCAAUAAGUUAUAAUAACACUUACCUUGAAAGUAAAAAAAGAGAAAUAAAAAUCUCAUUGACUU